AUACGUAGGGGGCGAGCGUUGUCCGGAAUGAUUGGGCGUAAAGGGCGCGUAGGCGGCCCGGUAAGUCUGGAGUGAAAGUCCUGUUUUUAAGAUGGGAAUUGCUUUGGAUACUGUCGGGCUUGAGUGCAGGAGAGGUAAGUGGAAUUCCCAGUGUAGCGGUGAAAUACGUAGAGAUUGGGAGGAACACCAGUGGCGAAGGCGGGUAACUGGACUGCAACUGACGCUGAGGCGCGAAAGUGUGGGGAGCAAACAGGAUUAGAUACCCUGGUAGUCCACACUGUAAACGAUGAAUGCUAGGUGUAAGAGGUAUCGACCCCUUUUGUGCCGGAGUCAACACAAUAAGCAUUCCGCCUGGGGAGUACGGCCGCAAGGUUGAAACUCAAAUGAAUUGACGGGG
rnacentral:rRNA from 1 species